GGAUGAAGAACGCAGCGAAAUGCGAUAAGUAAUGUGAAUUGCAGAAUUCAGUGAAUCAUCGAAUCUUUGAACGCACAUUGCGCCCCUUGGUAUUCCGAGGGGCAUGCCUGUUCGAGCGUCAUUAUAACCCUCAAGCUCAGCUUGGUGUUGGGGCCUGCUGCAGUGGCAGCCCUUAAAAUCAGUGGCGGCGCCAUCUGGCUCUAAGCGUAGUAAUUCUUCUCGCUAUGGAGUCCUGGUGGAUGCUUGCCAUCAACCCCCAAUUUUUCUAUGGUUGACCUCGGAUCAGGUAGGGAUACCCGCUGAACUUAAGCAUAUCAAAAGCGGAGGA
rnacentral:misc_RNA from 1 species